AGUCUCUAAAACUAGGUAAGCCUAAUAAGCAUGCGGAGUAACUGAAACAUUAAGUUAAAACUCGAAACGUCAACAACUGUAAUAAAUAAAAACUAUAACUCAAAGUAUAAAUAACUCUCAAAACCCGGUGAUGUAUAAGUCACAAGCUCUAGAUACAAUGUUGCAAUUGACCUGUACGUCACUCUUUAUAAAAAACAUAAAGAAAUAAGGAAAGGGCGGGAUAGAAGGAGACUCCGAGGCCUGCGGACGCGGGCAUGUGUAUCUUGAAGUCCAAGCAGCAGCACAACACUCUAAUAUCGAGGCAGAUAGGAUGUACCUCGAUCUGUACAAAAACAUGUGCAGAAGCAUAGUAUGAGUACACCACAACGGUACCUAGUAAGUGCCAAGCCUAACCUCGGUAGAGUAGUGACAAGGUCAGGUCAAGGCCCUACUGGGAAUAAUAAGAAACAAAGCAGAAGAUAUAAUGAUAUAAUAAAAUGACCGGGAAGUGUAACAAUAAGAAUUUACGGAAGAUAACAACAUGGAAUCAAAGAAAACGAAUACAACACGUAAGGAAGCAAGAAUCUUACAAGUUAAGGAACAACAACAACAGAUAAUACAACAAAUAGAGGAAAUCAAUAGGGGCACUCCCGAGGUACCGCUUCGUAGUCCCAAAAAUAAAUAUCUCACAUUCUUUCCUUAUACCACCCAUGCGUAUCAAUGAUCACAACGACACGACAGAAGACUAAUUAAACAUUUAAAUCAAAACAGCCAAUAUAAGCCUUGAAGCAUAACUUCUAGCAGUUCGAGGUUCAAGCAAUAUGACUUCCGGAGAUCUUAGAGGCAUGGUUUCUAACAACGCUUUUUUUUGGGGGUAAUAAUUUCUAACAAAGCAUUUAAACAUAGCAACACACGUUUAUAUUUCAUCACGUGAGUUGUUAAAAUACUUACUAACAUAGUAUCUAAGCAGGGGCGGACCCACGUGUAAUGGUUCAAAUGAACCCGCUUCUUCAGGAAAUAUAUUGUGUGUAUAUAUAAUUAUCAUCUAAAACAGUAACAAUGCCGUUAUUAUAAUAAUAAUGAAAACACUUGAGAUAGCACACCUUUGUGGUGUAGUGGUCUCGUGGGUUCAACAGUUUGAGAUGGUUCAGUGUUCGUGUGUGCAUAGCAACAGCAAACUCUAUAUUUUGACAAUUAUUGGUUAUGUUUGUAUGGCUGCACUACCCUUAUUAAGUUCGUUUUAGAGCCUCGACACUUCAUUUAGAGUGGGUUCUUUUCUCUUCUAUAAUUUUCAGUGAAACGUGCAAGUAAACUUUUUUUUGUAUUCUAUAAUUUUCAAAGAAACGUGCUAACUGGUAAAGCUAAAGACGUCAACUUUAAAGUGAUGACUUUAUUUUGUUGUCGCCAAUAAAAAAGAAAGAAAAAUAUAGUUCCAAAAUCGGCUCCAACACCUCUCAAACACCUUAAAUGCCCGUCUCUCCAAAACUAGUCAAACAAAUGUACAAAUCCAUAAAUAUAUACUCUAUUACCCAUAAUUAAUCAAUUCAUAACAAUGCCCGACUCCGCUCGAAAAGUCGAUAAAGUCGACCCUCGGACCCCCGUGCCCGGAUUCCGAAAUUUUUUGAAGAUAAACCUUACUCAUAACACCACGAACUCAAAUCUAUAAUUUAUUCCUAAUUCAUAUCCCAUUUCGUGGUCAAAAUCCAAAAAUCCAAUUUCUAGGUUUUCUACCAAAAAUCCCAAAUUUCUAUUAAUUUCCAUGUUUAAAUCCAUAUACAAACCAUGUAUUUAAAUUGUAAAAGGUGAGAAUCACUUACCUUAUGUUGCUUGAUGAAAAUCUCCCUUUGAAGCUCUCAAAAAAUAGUCCCAACCAAGUGGAAAAGAAAGAAAAUGG
rnacentral:lncRNA from 1 species